rnacentral:lncRNA from 1 species
GAUCCUUCUUUCUUUCUCACUCGAUCUAUGUUCCAUAUUUUUUCUAAAUAUUACACCCAAAGCGCUGCCCCGUUUUAAGUGUUUUAACUCCCGAUCACCGCUACCCUUUCUGAUUGAUCUGAAGCCCAUAACGCAUGUCAGGGCACUGCUCGACUAAGUUUGUUGGGAUUCUGUCUCGGGACAUAGUCACAGACACCAUUGGACUCUGAGGUUACCAAUGGAUGGUCGAGUGACAAAUACUGUGGGUAGUUGGUUGAUAUAUGGAAACAUUGUAAUCGCUCUUAAUACUGUAAAUUAUAACUACGGGUCAUUUUGUGCAAACUGAAUGAACUCACUCAGUAUUUCCUACUGACAAAACCUUUUUAAAAUGCAUUUCAGGUAAUUACAGUAGAUUGGAAUAAGAGUUGGACACGACACCAAAAAGGCUUACAGAAGUGGCUUGAUUUAUUAAUUAUAUCAAAUUAAGAAAUAUUGUUUUAUGUAAUUGGGUUAUCCCUUAUUGAAGCUACCUUUGUAAAACAUGGAUUUAUCCCAUCUAUUUAAUAAAUAAAAUCCGGUGUUUUCUAAACUCUGAUAUUUUUCCUAACUCACGGUCCUGAUGAAAUUUCCGCUACAAUAUUUUUCAAAAUAAUCACCGGUACCACUUGGCUGUUCGCGGCUCCCGAUUCCGUCCAGGGUGGGUCGGGGGUCGUGACAAUAUGUAUGUGUGAGCUAAGGUAGGUAUAUAUGUAGGUAAUGGUGUACGUAUGUACGUGACUAGGUAUGUAUGUAUGUAGUUAUGUAUGUAUGUAUGAAUGUAAAUACGUAUGUGAAGACGUAAUCGUGUAUGUAUGUAAGUAGAUGCGUAGGUAUGCCAGAAAAGGAAUGUAUGUAUGUACGUAGUUAUGUAUGUAUUGUAUACGUGGUUUCAAUACAUUUAAGUGUUGACGUUAUUAACAGUGUGCCUUGAGAAUGAAAUGUAAUGCAGGUGCACUAUUGAAGUUUCGCCAAGGAUUAGACACCCGGAUGGAAUGAUUAAAUCUAAAAAAAAUAACGGGAUGGAAAGUAUAUGUGGAUGGAACGUAACGAGACUACAUGAUUAAGAAUCUUGUUUGUAUAUAAUGUAUGCUAAUGUUGCGAAUGUAUGUGGUGGAUGCAGGUUGUACGAAUCACAGAUUAUCAUCACAAGGAGUAGCGAUCAAAGACCGAGUCACAAGAUAGAUUGUACGGGAAUGCUUGAGUAUGUAAAUUGAUAGACAUAAGUCAUGCUUUUAUUUUGUAAAUGAGUACGAAGGAUGCAUAUAUUGUAAAAGAGUUAUUUUAUAAUGAACUUUCAAGUAAGUCAAAACGU